rnacentral:rRNA from 1 species
UACAGAGGGUGCAAGCGUUAAUCGGAAUUACUGGGCGUAAAGCGCGUGUAGGCGGGUUGUUAAGUCCGCUGUGAAAGCCCGGUGCUCAACGCCGGAGGGUCGGUGGAUACUGGCAGUCUUGAAGUGGCUAGGGGGAAAUGGAAUUACCGGUGUAGCGGUGAAAUGCGUAGAUAUCGGUAGGAACACCAGUGGCGAAGGCGGUUUCCUGGAGCCCACUUGACGCUGAGACGCGAAAGCUGGGGGAGCAAACGGGG